CCAUAUCCAAUGGGAGUCGGAUACAAGGUCGGUGCAAUUGGAUCGUUUUAGAUUUUCCAGCUUUGGCAACAAAUUUCCAUAGCUAAAGCAACUAUUUUCUAAACAUAUGAGUAUAUAUGAACGCAGCAUUUUAGAAAACAUACUCUUACGUUCCAAAGGUAGAGCAAAAGUUAAUUAACCAUGAUACAUAUAAAAUAUGAAACCACUGCUUAGUCUUUGUCACAUUUUUACUGAUUUUCUUCUUCCAUUUUGCACUCUCCUUUGAGACAAUUUGAUAAUAUCUGAUAUCAAUUUUCAUAUGAAAGUUAAACAAUGAUACAAUCAUUUUGAAAUGUAAAUGAACUGUAUUUUAAAAGUGAUUGUUUUUUAUUUUCGACAGACAAAGACACAACUACAAGCACAGACGACAAUUCUACACUGAUAGUUGGAGUAGUUUUAGGAUUAGUUAUAGUCGCUUUAGCAUUAUAUGCUGUCUAUGUUACAAUCUUACUGAAACGGAAAAGUAAGCAAAAAGAAGGCACAUUGAAAGGGACAGAUAUCUCUGAGCAGUCGAACGCUAAAAUGUACGUAAAUAUGGGUUUCCUGACAGAAGACAGAGGCAGCCAAAGUUCAAAGACGCAAGCAGACGGAAAUAAAACAAUGGCAGACAGUAAAGAGUUUGAGAAUCAAUACACCGAUCUAGAUAACCAACAAAGAGCUGUUGAAUCGACUUAUGAUGCAAUAUCGUCCAUAUAGCACUGUUAUAGCAAUGUGACAUUACAAAGUAUUUGCAGCAAAUUGCAUAUGUAUUGUGAUAAAAAAGUAUGUUGCCAGCCCGCUUAGUUCAAGACAGAGAGAGAGAGAGAGAGAGAGAGGAUCUACGGAUCACGGGGUUAUGAGUUUAAUCCCCGGGCGAGGCGUUCGUUUUCCGUGAUGAUUUGAUAAAAGACAUGGUGUCUGAAAUCCUCCAGCUUCCACGAAGUUGGUAGUUACUUUCUGAGAACAAGUCAGUAUUGGUACAGAAUCCAAGAGCACAUAUUACGUUAAUUACCCACCGUAAUAUAACUGAAAUACUUUUGAAAAACAGCGCUAUAUAAACCGCAAAAUACAACAAAAACAAUGUUUGCUAUAUUUACACGUGUAGAAUAAGUUCAGAAUUGACAUUUCGUACCAACAUUGUCAUUUAUUUUAUUGUUUUUUAUAUGUAUUACUCUGAUGAUGUGAACUAGUGAAAGUUAACAAUAACAUAUACACUGUUUUAAAAUGUA